CCUACGGGAGGCAGCAGUGAGGAAUAUUGGUCAAUGGGCGCAAGCCUGAACCAGCCAAGUCGCGUGCAGGAUGACGGUCCUAUGGAUUGUAAACCUCUUUUAUCGGGGAGCAAGGCCCGCCACGUGUGGCGCGAAGGAGAGUACCCGAGGAAAAAGCAUCGGCUAACUCCGUGCCAGCAGCCGCGUUAAUACGGAGGUUCCGAGCGUUAUCCGGAUUUAUUGGGUUUAAAGGGUGCGUAGGCGGCCUUUUAAGUCGGCGUGGAAGGUCUAGGGCUCAACCAGAGAAUGGCCGUUGAAACUGGGGGGCUUGAGUAUGUUGGAGGCAGGCGGAAUGCGUGGUGUAGCGGUGAAAUGCUUAGAUAUGACGCAGAACCCCGAUUGCGAAGGCAGCUUGCCAAGGCAGGACUGACGCUGAUGCACGAAAGCGUGGGGAUCAAACAGGAUUAGAUACCCGUGUAGUC
rnacentral:rRNA from 1 species